AUAAUGAUACUCCUGUCCAGUCACAAGCCGAGCGUUGAGAGCGUCCCACCUAAUGAGGGCAGUUUCGGGAGAUCCCCGGAAAGGUAUAAGUACCUGUGG
rfam:Lachnospiraceae bacterium 3-2 genomic scaffold acPFJ-supercont1.1, whole genome shotgun sequence.